rnacentral:rRNA from 1 species
CCUACGGGAGGCUGCAGUGGGGAAUAUUGCACAAUGGGCGCAAGCCUGAUGCAGCCAUGCCGCGUGUGUGAAGAAGGCCUUCGGGUUGUAAAGCACUUUCAGCGGGGAGGAAGGCGGUGAGGUUAAUAACCUCAUCGAUUGACGUUACCCGCAGAAGAAGCACCGGCAAACUCCGUGCCAGCAGCCGCGGUAAUACGGAGGGUGCAAGCGUUAAUCGGAAUUACUGGGCGUAAAGCGCACGCAGGCGGUCUGUCAAGUCGGAUGUGAAAUCCCCGGGCUCAACCUGGGAACUGCAUUCGAAACUGGCAGGCUAGAGUCUUGUAGAGGGGGGUAGAAUUCCAGGUGUAGCGGUGAAAUGCGUAGAGAUCUGGAGGAAUACCGGUGGCGAAGGCGGCCCCCUGGACAAAGACUGACGCUCAGGUGCGAAAGCGUGGGGAGCAAACAGGAUUAGAUACCCGAGUAGUC